UCGAUUCUACGGCUACCUUGUUACGAGAGUUUGAUCCUGGCUCAGGAUGAACGCUAGCGGCAGGCUUAACACAUGCAAGUCGAGGGGCAGCGAGGGUAGCAAUACCUGUCGGCGACCGGCGCAAGGGUGCGUAACGCGUGAGCAACAUGCCCGUAUCAGGGGGAUAAUCCAGGGAAACUUGGUCUAAUACCGCAUAAUAAUCAUUUGGGGCAUCUUGGAUGAUUUAAAAUUUCGAUGGAUACGGAUUGGCUCGCGUGACAUUAGCUGGAUGGAGAGGUAACGGCUCACCAUGGCUACGAUGUCUAGGGGUUCUGAGAGGAAGGUCCCCCACACUGGAACUGAGACACGGUCCAGACUCCUACGGGAGGCAGCAGUGAGGAAUAUUGAACAAUGGAUGGAAAUCUGAUCCAGCCAUGCCGCGUGCAGGAAGACGGCCCUAUGGGUUGUAAACUGCUUUUGUAUGGGAGCAAUAAGGGCUACGUGUAGUCCGAUGAGAGUACCAUACGAAUAAGGACCGGCUAACUCCGUGCCAGCAGCCGCGGUAAUACGGAGGGUCCGAGCGUUAUCCGGAUUUAUUGGGUUUAAAGGGUGCGUAGGCGGUUUUAUAAGUCAGCGGUGAAAUUUUCCGGCUCAACCGGGAUACUGCCGUUGAUACUGUAAGGCUAGGAUAUGGUUGCUGUGGGUGGAAUGUGUGGUGGAACCGGUUAAAAUGCUUAAAAAAUCACACAGA
rnacentral:rRNA from 1 species